rnacentral:rRNA from 1 species
AACAUGGAGAGUUUGAUCCUGGCUCAGGAUGAACGCUGGCGGUAUGCUUAACACAUGCAAGUCGAACGGUGUCUUCGGACAUAGUGGCGGACGGGUGAGUAACGCGUGAGAAUCUGCCUUCAGGAUGGGG